UACAGAGACCUCAAGCGUUAUCCGGAAUCAUUGGGCGUAAAGCGUACCGAUAGGUGGUUAAGAAAGUCAGAUGUGAAAUCUCCGAGCUCAACUCGGAAUCUGUCAUUUGAAACUUCUUGACUAGAGGGGCAAAGAGGAAGCUGGAACGAACGGUGUAGUAGUGAAAUGCGUUGAUAUCGUUCGGAACACCAAUAGCGUAGGCAGGCUUCUGGGUGCCACCUGACACUGAGAGACGAAAGCGAGGGGAGCAAAUGGG
rnacentral:rRNA from 1 species